CUAUCUCUACUCUAGUCAUAAUUUUGUUUUGUUACAUUGUCCAAAAUAAGAACUGGAUUCUAUGUUAAUAUGUUUUUUUUUUCAAAUUACAUGAGUGUGUUUAAUUUUGAAUUUGUGACAUUUGUCCUGUUUUCUCAAGCGUGGUUGCGGGAAAGCAGAGUUUACCCAGUUAUCGAUGUGAUACCAAGUUUCCCAAUCAUCUAAUCUGUAAUUGAGUUCCAAUUUAUUUGGUAGAGUUCUUCGAGGCUAUAGCUUAAUGUAGAUGCAAACUUUAUUUCAAGUUUCUCAUUUGUGUUAGCGUAUCUGUCCUACCGUCCAUUCUCACAUAACACUGAAGGGCUUUGAACGAACUCACAACCUACUAGACUACUAGUACGCAUACCACAUGGAAAUUAGUCAUAGCGCAUGGUGAUUAGAUGCCAGCAAACACAAAUGAUUUUGAUAGGAAGUUUCACCAUGUGGCAAGCUGGAAAUAGCACCUUGUAAGCAAUUUUAAUAGUUUGGUACUGGGCCAUGAAGUGAAAUGAAAUGAUAUCUCUUGGCCAUGAACGGAACAGAGUACUUUGAUCCCUAUAUGCAUCCUACUGGGCCAAGAACGCAGAUGAUCUCCGGUUGUAGUUUAUCAAUCCUCCCAGAAGAAUAAACAAACCUUGUCAUGAUAUUCCCAGUAGCCAAAGUAACUCGGUGACCUAGGAUAUAUCAUGCAAAAUCAAUGAAACUAAUCCGUGAUUAAUAGUAACAAUGUUGUAGAACCACAGAAAGACGAAACCAACUAUAUCAAAUUAUUGAACUCCUUUGAAAUAGUGUUUAGUAGACUUACGAAUUGAGUGAGCAAAUAUCCGGAUACCUCUCAAGCCUACAACACACCUCUAAAACCUUAUGCACAUGCUUAAUGCCAAGUAUACUUGCACUCCCUUG
rnacentral:lncRNA from 1 species